CAGGUGAGGACAAGAAACAGAGCUUGACACUAGUCUGGAUUUGCCUCUCGGAUCUGGCUGAGCUGGGGAAGCACUGUCCUUUGGUGACGGUGGGACCCUGUGCUUCCAGGAGCGGGGCUAAGAGGUGAGAGCACCCUCCACACCCCAGGAUCCUGGCAGGUGGAGAUGGAAGCAGCUGAGACUGAGCAGUAGCACCAGGCAGGGAGAGUGCCCCCACCUUGAGUCUACCUGCUCUUGAGGCCACAUGUUGGGGCAGGGCCUCAGCCCCAGGAGCCUGGCAGGUGGAAGGAGACUUUUCAGUUUUGGGUUGCUGGUGGCUGACCUGAGACGCUGACCGCUACAUCCAUCCACAGAGCUGCUGCGGGAAGGCCUGGAUGCAUCAUGUUAGGGGCUGGUGGGAGUACUCGGGACACGUGGGGCGUAUACCUUUGUCUUGCAAACCCAAAAUCAGGAUGCUCUUGACUCAGUCUGAGAGCAGGGAACUGUGCCAGAAACUCAGCACGUUUUGGGAGACAUAUGGAAGGAAUACCCCCCACUUCCCACCUAUCACCCCUGCACCUUUCUCCAGCUAGGCUAUCCGCUCCCCAUUCUCCCCAUAAGAGUGGCUGGCAGUGGGGAGCCUGCCACUCCCCUGGGUUUGGCCCUAUCACCUACAGAAUAAAGCCCCACUCCUUGCCGGUCGCGUUACCGUGAUCUGACCCUUGCCCACCGCCAGCCCCAUCUUUCACUAUGUCAUGUGGAUCGCUGUAUUAUUUAAGAAAGUCAAAUUGGGCCAUAAAAAUAAGAGAAUUAAAUAAGGAAGACAGAUGAAGCUAAGUACAGAAGAUUUAUACUAGACACAGUAUACCAAGGAGAGCACCUACAUGCUGAACAUAGGAAGGGACAGAGGGACCAAUGGCACUAAAUAGCCAAAUAUUGAUGCUAUGCUUAAUAUUCAUGAGGCAUAUGGAACAUUCAAUAUUUAUUAGGUCUUAAGUCAGCCACCCAUUGGCAAUGGCUAUUCUGACCCUCUGUGUCCCCUGCCCAAGAAAUGCAGAGAAAGGUGUAGCUGUUCUCCAGGUGAACUGACGGCUACAGCUGUGGCCAGGCACUCGUCCCUAUACCAGAGAGAGGGCAAUUCUGUGCCAUUGGCCCAAGUGCUUUCCAUUGCAUGGGCUCCUUGGUUCAAACUUCACUCCAUCAGCAGUGAAGGCUGAUGUGGCAGGGAGAGAGGUGGCACAAAGAAACACUGUGUCAGCAGGAUGCAGGCAGUGUGGUCCUCCCAUCUGCACACACACUAGCCUAACCAGCUAUCUCAUCGCCUUUCCCUGGUGUCUUGCUAUGUGUUUGUAAUUGAUACACUAUUAGCCAGGUGUGGUGGUGCACGCCUGUAGUCCCAGCUACUUGGGAGGCUGAGGUGGGAGGAACACUUGAGCCCAGGAAGUAGAGGCUGCAGUGAGCCGAGAUCACACGACUGCACUCCAGCCUGGGUGACAGAGCGAGACCCUGUC
rnacentral:lncRNA from 1 species